UGAGUUUGGGUUUUAGGUUAAAAAGAGACAGCUUGAAUGUGAUUUUGGCAGAGGUUUAGUGGCUGUCAAGCUUUGAAAAAUGAGGGGGGAUGAUGCUCUAUUUAUAGAGGAAGCAAAGGGGUUGAAGUGUGUGAAAAAGGAUUCAUUUUGGAGUGAAAAAAAGUUACUAUUGUUAUCUGCGCAUAUGUAAUCGAUUAACGGAAU
rnacentral:lncRNA from 1 species